AUGUUAUGAUGUGGAUAUUUUCUUAACAUUGCUUUUAAUCUUUUCCAAGUCUGACAAAAGGACACAGUAUUAGUUUGCAAGAAAUUAGAAACAUCUUAUUUUAACUU